UUAAACCUAUCUUAUUUAAAAAAAAAAGGCAGUAACUUAUAUCAUGAAAUCUUUUAGGACAGCUUUGAGGACCUAAAAAAACUGUGAUGAAUUGUUAUAUUCAUUUCCUAUGUAUCUGACACACUUAAGGCAUGUUAAAAAAGCUAAUAUUUGAACUUUCAUCUUUGAUGUACUUUUCCUUUUAAAAUCGAUGAGCCAUUGGUAUUUCAAAUAUCAUGUUUAGCUUUACAUGUGUGCCACGUAGAUAGUUAUCUGAAUGAGUUAAAACGUAAAAAAAUAUUAGAGAUGGUAGAAAAUAGAAGCAGUACAUUAACUUAAUGUCAUACGAAAUUGAGCAAGCAAGUGAGAAGAAAGCGCCAAUUAAUGGAACUGAGCAAGAAUUUGAGAAGAAAUCGCUCGUCAGUGGUAUUUGGUUUGUAACAAAGAAAUAUGGAUGGGCUGUAUUAAUAGGUGUAGGUGUAGUAUUUGUAGAACUUCUUGCCGUUGCUCUACAACCAAAUUUAAUUGCAGGAUCUUUCAGUAUGUCAUUCCACACCCGUUGGUACCAUCGGUGGAUGCAUAUGUAUAACUAUAUUAUGAGAGGCUGUUCGGAGAAGGACAUGGACUGUAUGAACAGUUUCACUUUAUCUUCUUUAGUGGAUGCAUAUAUCAUGGGAGGCUGUUCGGAAAAAGAUAUUUACUGUAUGAAGAAAUAAAAAUUACUUCCACACUUC